rnacentral:rRNA from 1 species
GUGGGGAAUAUUGGACAAUGGGGGGAACCCUGAUCCAGCCAUGCCGCGUGUGUGAAGAAGGCCUUUUGGUUGUAAAGCACUUUAAGCGAGGAGGAGGCUACUAGUAUUAAUACUACUGGAUAGUGGACGUUACUCGCAGAAUAAGCACCGGCUAACUCUGUGCCAGCAGCCGCGGUAAUACAGAGGGUGCGAGCGUUAAUCGGAUUUACUGGGCGUAAAGCGUGCGUAGGCGGCUGAUUAAGUCGGAUGUGAAAUCCCUGAGCUUAACUUAGGAAUUGCAUUCGAUACUGGUCAGCUAGAGUAUGGGAGAGGAUGGUAGAAUUCCAGGUGUAGCGGUGAAAUGCGUAGAGAUCUGGAGGAAUACCGAUGGCGAAGGCAGCCAUCUGGCCUAAUACUGACGCUGAGGUACGAAAGCAUGGGGAGCAAACAGGAUUAGAUACCCCGGUAGUCC